rnacentral:tRNA from 1 species
GCGGGCGUGGCGGAAUGGCAGACGCGCUAGACUUAGGAUCUAGUGGGCGAUUCCCGUGGGAGUUCGAAUCUCCCCGCCCGCACCA